AAAACUGUGGUUGAUCGGUUCUUAUCCACGGUACCAAAAGAAAAUUAAUAAACUACUAAUCCAGACAUAUGAUCGUAUUCUCAUGCCCAUCGAAGUUCUAUAAAUACCCAACUCACUUUCUAGUUUAAUCAUCUACAACUGAGAAGAACAUUAUAACAGUGAAGCAAGAACAACUCCAAAGGCGAAUAUAUUUAUCGAUCAGGAUUACAAAUGGCUGCAACUUGUGUCAAUGAGGUUAAGACGGAGUGGCCAGAACUAGUUGGGAAACUAGGGGACGAUGCAAAGGAGACAAUCGAGAGAGAAGAUCCAGGUUUACGUCAGGUCGUGAUCGUUUUAGAAGGUAGCAUAAUUGAUAUGGCAAUUAUCCCGGACAGAGUUCGUGUUUGGGUCGAUGAGAGGAACAUCGUAACACGGGUGCCAAAAACUGGUUGAUGUAUAAAAGUUAGCUGCGACUGAUUGAUUGAUCGGUGGAUCAAUGGAAUAAAUGAGCUAGUUAUGUUCUAUUUUGGCUAGCUGACAUGUGGUUGUAAUUUAAUGCUUAAACUAAGUAUUAAUGUAUCGAUGUUUAACUAAUUAAUAAAAGUAUUUGUGUGUAUUUAAUCUAUUUUUAA